AUAUUGCACAAUGGGCGCAAGCCUGAUGCAGUCAUGCCGCGUGUGUGAAGAAGGCCUUCGGGUUGUAAAGCACUUUCAGCGGGGAGGAAGGCGAUAAGGUUAAUAACCUUGUCGAUUGACGUUACCCGCAGAAGAAGCACCGGCUAACUCCGUGCCAGCAGCCGCGGUAAUACGGAGGGCGCAAGCGGUAAUCGGAAUUACUGGGCGGAAAGCGCACGCAGGCGGUCUGUCAAGUCGGAUGUGAAAUCCCCGGGCUCAACCUGGGAACUGCAUUCGAAACUGGCAGGCUAGAGUCGUGUAGAGGGGGGUAGAAUUCCAGGUGUAGCGGUGAAAUGCGUAGAGAUCUGGAGGAAUACCGGUGGCGAAGGCGGCCCCCUGGACAAAGACUGACGCUCAGGUGCGAAAGCGUGGGGAGCAAAC
rnacentral:rRNA from 1 species